CCAUGGUGUCCGGCUUUCGACAGGAAUGCCUGGUUGAAAAGGGACCCUGGCGGCUCCGGUCGGCACUGUUAAAAGUCCAGUCGAUGGAGCAGAGCCUCGUGGCCCUCAUGUGCCUAGAGGCUUCAGGGACCUGGCGGCUGCUUCCUCACAGCCGCAAUAACCAAAUACGCAUAGCAGAUGUAUUAAAAUGCCAACGUUUCUCUGAGAUGAUUUCGGAGAGGGAAUACUUGAAGGAAGUGGAGGAAAUGUCAUCAGAGUUUCUGGAUAAUGUGAAUCCAUUCAACAACUUUCAUCUGGUUUUCUUCUUCAUGGAGAACUAGACAUACUCUUCGUCUCUCUGGGCUUCAGCUCCCCUUUGGUACAAUGGGGAUAACAGCACUGCCUGACCUCACAGGGGGACGGGAGGGUCAAGCCAUAAAGAUGGUGAGGUACUCAGAUACAUGGGCCCCAUU